UGGUCAGUUGGUGAGUGGGCUCCAGCGGACCGAGGUUUAAGCCCCGCGGGUAGCCUUGUGGGUUGCCGUAUGGAACUUCGGAUCCUAAACUUCCCGUCUUGUCCUUGUAUGUUCUAGGUUGGGGGCCGUCCCGCAUCUAGGGCAGGAAGAUGGUGGCUGCAAAGAAGACGAAAAAGUCGCUGGAGUCGAUCAACUCAAGGUCCAGCUCGUUAUGAAAAGUGGAAAGUAUGUGCUGGGUUACAAGCAGACUUUGAAGAUGAUCAGACAAGGCAAAGCGAAAUUGGUCAUCCUCGCCAACAACUGCCCAGCUUUGAGGAAAUCUGAAAUAGAAUAUUAUGUCAUGUUAGCCAAAACUGGUGUUCAUCACUACAGUGGCAAUAAUAUUGAAUUGGGCACAGCAUGUGGAAAAUACUACAGAGUAUGCACACUGGCCAUCAUUGAUCCAGGUGACUCUGAUAUCAUUAGAAGCAUGCCAGAACAGACUGGUGAAAAGUAAAUCAUGUACAUUUUUUCUUUAAUAAAACUUGCUAGAGCUUGUUUAAAAAAAAAAAAAAA